rnacentral:ncRNA from 1 species
UAGAUCGGGCUGAGAAGAGCAUGACAUAUACUGCGAUGAAGAUAUUUUCUCCUCGGACCUUGAAAAUUUAUGGUGCCUUACACGGGAAACUUCUCAACAGGCCGUACCAAUAUCCGCAGCUGGUCUCCAAGGUGAAGAGUCUCUAGUCGAUAGAAUAAUGUAGGUAAGGGAAGUCGGCAAAUUAGAUCCGUAACUUCGGGAUAAGGAUUGGCUCUGAAGAUUGAGAUAGUCGGGCUUGAUUGGGAAACAAUAACAUGGUUUAUGUGCUCGUUCUGGGUAAAUAGAGUUUCUAGCAUUUAUGUUAGUUACUUGUUCCCCGGAUAGUUUAGUUACGUAGCCAAUUGUGGAACUUUCUUGCUAAAAUUUUUAAGAAUACUAUUUGGGUUAAACCAAUUAGUUCUUAUCAAUUAUAACGAUUAUCAAUUAACAAUCAAUUCAGAACUGGCACGGACUUGGGGAAUCCGACUGUCUAAUUAAAACAAAGCAUUGUGAUGGCCCUAGCGGGUGUUGACACAAUGUGAUUUCUGCCCAGUGCUCUGAAUGUCAAAGUGAAGAAAUUCAAGUAAGCGCGGGUCAACGGCGGGAGUAACUAUGACUCUCUUAAGAACAAAAUGAAUUGUUAUCGCGUCCGGCAAUAGAAAAAUAUUGGGCGAACAAAUUGUACCUCUCAGUUGAUGGUAGCGGACUCCGUGAAGCAGGCCAUUGGGGCCCGCAACACGGGUGGGUUAAUCAACCCACGCGUUUACUAACAGGAAAGGAUAUAUAGACGGUAUUCGUCUGCGGGAUAAAUGCCCUACCCACGAAGUCUCGUACUACAAGGGGAAGGCACGAAUCGGAACGACAGUGUCGUGCAGGGAUGUGACGCUCCCGAAAACAACAACCCAUAUUAUGCAAAAAUGUUACCCGAUCGCAUGGGAGGCGCAUAGCUAGACACAACUGCGUAGUAAAUCGAAUCAAGCGGGGACUUGAGGAGAGAGGCUGCGUAGUCAUUGUUGAACCAAGUCUGCAGUGCGAAUCCGGUCUUAAUAAACCAGACCUGGUGGCACUACGACAAAAUCACAUUGAUGUGAUCGACAUACAAAUUGUGACAGACGGACACUCUAUGGAUGAUGCACACCAGCGCAAAAUCAAUAGAUACGACAGACCGGACAUACGAACUGAGUUGCGUCGCAGAUUCGAAGCCGCAGGUGACAUUGAAUUCCAUUCUGCCACCCUGAACUGGAGGGGGAUCUGGAGUGGUCAAUCCGUUAAAAGAUUGAUAGCGAAGGGUCUCCUCAGCAAAUAUGAUAGUCAUAUCAUUAGCGUCCAGGUUAUGAGAGGCAGUCUCGGUUGUUUUAAACAGUUCAUGUACCUGAGCGGGUUUUCCCGAGAUUGGACUUAGCUAAAACGUUUGGUUCAAAACAUUUGCUUGCUGUCUUGGCAUAACAUCAAUAAAGGCAUAAACAUCGCAAAUAAUGGUAAUAUAUAAAUUGGCUAUGAGGAUGGUUUUAGUACGUAGGCGUUGCGGAACUUCGGUUCAGAUAGAGCAAUGAAUCGUGCAUGCUAGGAAACUGAAGUGUUGACAGACCUAGUAUCUUUCGAUAGAUUUCCAUACCUCCGCGAUCAAAAAAAAAAAAAAUAGCCAAAUGCCUCGUCAUCUAAUUAGUGACGCGCAUGAAUGGAUUAACGACGGACGUGUUUUCGUUGCGCUCGUGUACAGAUUGCGAAGAACUUGGUUUUCCGU